AAGUUAGGAAGUCACUCAAGCUUACCUAACUGUGUUUCUACAGAAAUUUUUUAUAACUGGCAAUAGAAAUUCCAUGUUAUGAGCCUUAAUGAUCUUGGAGUCAUUAAGGUCCCUGAAAAUAACUAUAUGA
rfam:Erinaceus europaeus unplaced genomic scaffold scaffold00014, whole genome shotgun sequence